CCUACGGGUGGCAGCAGUGAGGAAUAUUGGUCAAUGGGCGCGAGUCUGAACCAGCCAAGUAGCGUGAAGGAUGACUGCCCUAUGGGUUGUAAACUUCUUUUAUAUAGGAAUAAAGUGAUGCACGUGUGCCUUUUUGUAUGUACCUUAUGAAUAAGGAUCGGCUAACUCCGUGCCAGCAGCCGCGGUAAUACGGAGGAUCCGAGCGUUAUCCGGAUUUAUUGGGUUUAAAGGGAGCGUAGAUGGGUUGUUAAGUCAGUUGUGAAAGUUUGCGGCUCAACCGUAAAAUUGCAAUUGAAACUGGCAGUCUGGAGUACAGUUGUGGUAGGCGGAAUUCGUGGUGUAGCGGUGGAAUGCUUAGAUAUCACGAAGAACUCCGAUUGCGAAGGCAGCUUACUAAACUGCCACUGACAUUGAUGCUCGAAAGUGUGGGUAUCACACAGGAUUCGAUACCCCGGUAGUC
rnacentral:rRNA from 1 species